rnacentral:rRNA from 1 species
UGGGGAAUCUUGCACAAUGGGCGAAAGCCUGAUGCAGCAACGCCGCGUGCGGGAAGAAGGCCCUCGGGUUGUAAACCGCUUUCAGAAGGAACGAAACUGACGGUACUUUCAGAAGAAGGUCCGGCUAACUACGUGCCAGCAGCCGCGGUAAUACGUAGGGACCAAGCGUUGUUCGGAUUUACUGGGCGUAAAGGGCGCGUAGGCGGCAAUUCAAGUCAUCUGUGAAAUCUCCGGGCUUAACUCGGAACGGUCAGAUGAUACUGCUUUGCUAGAGUGCAGAAGGGGCAAUCGGAAUUCUUGGUGUAGCGGUGAAAUGCGUAGAUAUCAAGAGGAACACCUGAGGCGAAGGCGGGUUGCUAGGCUGAUACUGACGCUGAGGCGCGAAAGCUAGGGUAGCAAACGGGAUUAGAUACCCGCGUAGUCCCUGAGCGGGCUGGCAAGGCGCAU